UGGUGGAAUUUCACAAGAUGCCGAGGUC
rnacentral:piRNA from 1 species